CAUGUAGGCGGAUUGAUAAGUUUGAAGUGAAAUCCUAUAGCUUAAUUAUAGAACUGCUUUGAAAACUGUUAAUCUAGAAUGUGGGAGAGGUAGAUGGAAUUUCUGGUGUAGGGGUAAAAGUCCGUAGAGAUCAGAAGGAAUACCGAUUGCGAAGGCGAUCUACUGGAACAUUAUUGACGCUGAGAUGCGAAAGCGUGGGGAGCAAACA
rnacentral:rRNA from 1 species